rnacentral:rRNA from 1 species
UCGGGAUAACAACCUGGAAACAGAUGCUAAUACCGGAUAACAAUAGAUGAUGCCUAUCAACUGUUUAAAAGAUGGUUCUGCUAUCACUCUUGGAUGGACCUGCGGUGCAUUAGCUAGUUGGUAGGGUAACGGCCUACCAAGGCGAUGAUGCAUAGCCGAGUUGAGAGACUGAUCGGCCACAUUGGGACUGAGACACGGCCCAAACUCCUACGGGAGGCAGCAGCC